AAUGGGGGCAACCCUGAUCCAGCCAUGCCGCGUGAGUGAAGAAGGCCCUAGGGUCGUAAAACUCUUUCGCCUGUGAUGAUAAUGACAGUAGCAGGUAAAGAAACCCCGGCUAACUCCGUGCCAGCAGCCGCGGUAAUACGGAGGGGGUUAGCGUUGUUCGGAAUUACUGGGCGUGAAGCGCACGUAGGCGGAUUAGAAAGUUAGAGGUGAAAUCCCGGGGCUCAACCCCGGAACUGCCUUUAAAACUACUAGUCUUGAGUUCGAGAGAGGUGAGUGGAAUUCCGAGUGUAGAGGUGAAAUUCGUAGAUAUUCGGAGGAACACCAGUGGCGAAGGCGGCUCACUGGCUCGAUACUGACGCUGAGGUGCGAAAGCGUGGGGAGCAAACAGGAUU
rnacentral:rRNA from 1 species